ACGCACGCUGGCGGCGUGCUUAACACAUGCAAGUCGAACGGAAAGACCCUGCUUUUGUGGGGUGCUCGAGUGGCGAACGGGUGAUUAACACGUGAGUAACCUGCCCUUGACUUUGGGAUAACUUCAGGAAACUGGGGCUAAUACCGGAUAGGAGCUCCUGCUGCCUGGUGGGGGUUGGAAAGUUUCGGCGGUUGGGGAUGGACUCGCGGCUUAUCAGCUUGUUGGUGGGGUAGUGGCUUACCAAGGCUUUGACGGGUAGCCGGCCUGAGAGGGUGACCGGCCACAUUGGGACUGAGAUACGGCCCAGACUCCUACGGGAGGCAGCAGUGGGGAAUAUUGCACAAUGGGCGGAAGCCUGAUGCAGCAACGCCGCGUGCGGGAUGACGGCCUUCGGGUUGUAAACCGCUUUCGCCUGUGACGAAGCGUGAGUGACGGUAAUGGGUAAAGAAGCACCGGCUAACUACGUG
rnacentral:rRNA from 1 species